rnacentral:rRNA from 1 species
AGAAUCAACACUGGCGGCGUGCCUCAGACAUGCAAGUCGAACGCGAAAGUUUCCUUCGGGAGGCGAGUAGAGUGGCGCACGGGUGAGUAACACGUAGGUAAUCUACCUUUGGAUGGGGAAUAACAACCGGAAACGGUUGCUAAUACCGCAUAAUGCAGCGGCACCUAAUGGUGACAGUUGUUAAAGCGGGGGAUCGAAAGACCUCGCGUCUGAAGAGGAGCCUGCGGCGGAUUAGCUAGUUGGUAAGGUAAUGGCUUACCAAGGCUACGAUCC